CCUACGGGGUGCAGCAGUAGGGAAUUUUGCGCAAUGGGCGAAAGCCUGACGCAGCAACGCCGCGUGAUCGAGACGCCCUUCGGGGUGUAAAGAUCUGUCAGUGGGGACGAAACUUGGCGGUACCCACCGAGGAAGCACCGGCUAACUCCGUGCCAGCAGCCGCGGUAAUACGUGGGGUGCAAGCGUUGUCCGGAAUCAUUGGGCGUAAAGAGUUCGUAGGCGGAACGUAAGGUCUGGUGUUAAAGGCAGAGGCUCAACUUCGGUACGGCACUGGAUAGUUGCGAGCUAGAAUGCGGGAGAGGUAAAGGGAAUUCCUGGUGUAGCGGUGAAAUGCUUAGAUAUCAGGAGGAACACCGGUGGCGAAAGCGCUUUACUGGGCCGUAAUUGACGCUGAGGAACGAAAGCCAGGGGAGCAAAUGGGAUUAGAUACCCUUGUAGUC
rnacentral:rRNA from 1 species